rnacentral:precursor_RNA from 1 species
UGACACAGAGAGAGAGACAGGAAUUAUGUUCACUUUCUGUCUCUCUCUCUCCGUGUCAGUGU